rnacentral:rRNA from 1 species
CGAGUCUCCUGAAGGAACGUUGAAGACGACGACGUUGAUAGGCCGGGUGUGUAAGCGCAGCGAUGCGUUGAGCUAACCGGUACUAAUGAACCGUGAGGCUUAACCUU